rnacentral:rRNA from 1 species
GCACGAAGUAUAAACUAUUUCAUGUAAAUUUAUAAUAAAAUUUUAUAUUUUAGUAAAAAAGCUAAAAUUUUAUUAAAAGACGAGAAGACCCUAUAAAUCUUUAUAUUUUAUUUAAAUUAAAUUUUUUAAAUUUAUUUUAUUUAAUUUGAUAUAAAAUAUUUUAUUGGGGUGAUAUUAAAAUUUAUUAAACUUUUAAUUUUAUUAAACAUUUAUUUAUGGUUUAUUGAUCUAUUAAUAAUGAUUAUAAGAAUAAGUUACUUUAGGGAUAACAGCGUAAUUUUUUUGGAGAGUUCUUAUUAAUAAAAAAGUUUGCGACCUCGAUGUUGGAUUAAGAAUAAAUUUAGGUGAAGAUGCUUAAAAAUUAAGUCUGUUCGACUUUUAAAUUCUUACAUGAUCUGAGUUCAGACCGGCGUAAGCCAGGUUGGUUUCUAUCUUUAAAUUUGAUAAAUAUUUUAGUACGAAAGGACCAAAUAUUAAAUUUAUAAUAAUUUAUGAUUUUGAAAUUUAUUAAAUAUAAAUA